GUGAAUCAUCGAAUUUUUGAACGCAAAUUGCACUCCCUGGUAUUCCGGGGAGCAUGCCUGUUUGAGGGUCGUUAGAACCAAAAUCGAAGCGUCGCUCUUUUUUUUUACGGGGGAUGGCGUUGGAAUUGAGCCGUCUUUCUACUGUUGAUUCCAGUAACCGUGGCUUGAAUUUCAUCCAUCUGGUAC
rnacentral:misc_RNA from 1 species